AUAGGGGAGCCGAAGGGAAACCGAGUCUUAACUGGGCGUUAAGUUGCAGGGUAUAGACCCGAAACCCGGUGAUCUAGCCAUGGGCAGGUUGAAGGUUGGGUAACACUAACUGGAGGACCGAACCGACUAAUGUUGAAAAAUUAGCGGAUGACUUGUGGCUGGGGGUGAAAGGCCAAUCAAACCGGGAGAUAGCUGGUUCUCCCCGAAAGCUAUUUAGGUAGCGCCUCGUGAACUCAUCUUCGGGGGUAGAGCACUGUUUCGGCUAGGGGGUCAUCCCGACUUACCAACCCGAUGCAAACUGCGAAUACCGAAGAAUGUUAUCACGGGAGACACACGGCGGGUGCUAACGUCCGUCGUGAAGAGGGAAACAACCCAGACCGCCAGCUAAGGUCCCAAAGUCACAGUUAAGUGGGAAACGAUGUGGGAAGGCUCAGACAGCCAGGAUGUUGGCUUAGAAGCAGCCAUCAUUUAAAGAAAGCGUAAUAGCUCACUGGUCGAGUCGGCCUGCGCGGAAGAUGUAACGGGGCUAAACUGUGCACCGAAGCUGCGGCAGCGACGCUUAUGCGUUGUUGGGUAGGGGAGCGUUCUGUAAGCCUGCGAAGGUGUCCUGUGAGGGAUGCUGGAGGUAUCAGAAGUGCGAAUGCUGACAUAAGUAACGAUAAUGCGGGUGAAAAGCC
rnacentral:rRNA from 1 species